rnacentral:lncRNA from 1 species
ACAGAUACUCUGGGCUCCAGCUAGUACAAAUUCCUUGCUUGAUCUUGGCCACUAUCUCUUCCAUACCCUGCUCCAUACUCUGCCGCUGUGCAGCCCUCACUCAAGCAUUACUUCCUCUAGAUAACUGUGUGUCAGCCUGUGUGUAGAUGUGGUUUAUGAAAUAUAUCUAAAAAUGUUACCACUUUUCCUGGAUGCAAGCUCCUGCUUUUAAACAAAUCAGUUUAUCUCCAGUGUCUGGUAAAGUUGCCAUCUGGACCCUCCUGAUGCCCACAAAUAUGGCACUCCAUGCUGUAAAAGCAAGAGGCAGAUAAUUGUUUCUGUAUUAUAGCAAUAAAAACAAAAUCCUUUGCAAAACUACUGAUCAAUUUUCAAAUGCAGAAUAGUAAUAAGAGGAAAGUCUGAAAUAUUCUCAAGUCCUUAAGUACAGUAAUAGAUUCAAGGCAAGAUUUCAAGUAUCAUAGGAUAUUAUAACACUUUAAAAACUGCAUAAGCAUUUCUCAAAACACUUCCUAUACUUAGACAUACAGUUAGAAAACUGAACUGGACUUAAAUAUGAAAAAGCUAGACCAUAGUAUAACAAUAUAUGUGAUCUCCAUUGAAUUACCAAGCCUGCCUUCAAAAAAAAAAAAAAAAAAGAAGAGGGCCAGGUAUGGUGGCUGUCACCUGAAAUCCUAGUGCUUUGAGAGGCCAAGGCAGGAGGAUCACUUGAGGAGUUUGAGGCUACAGUGAGCUGUGAUCCCGCCUGGGCAACAGAGGCUGUCUCUAAAACAAAACACAAAACAAAGAAGAGAUAAUAAGUAAACAAUAAGAAUAAGGCAUGUGUGCAUACAAAGUUAAGAGUCAUGCAUAUGUACAUGCCCAUUUUCAAAAUAUAUAUGUAUGGUUCAUGACUAUAUAUGGGACACACUGAAACUGAAAGUGCUAUGAAGAAAUGUUUAUCUUAGGGGCUCAAAUUCUCUUAUAUAAAAAUUCAAAAUAAAUUU